ensembl:lncRNA novel transcript
AGAGGGGAUAUUGUAUGUAACUGGUGACAUUUGAAAGAGACAUAUUGGACAGAAAUGACAUACGUGAAAGCUAAGAUACAAUAUAUUUAAUUUUCUAAGAAUUCAGUUCAAGGUAGUCUGCCUGGUUUCUCAAGUUCUGCAUGUUUCUUCAGUAGACUAAAUAAUGAUAAGGAAGCUGAGAUGUAGAGCUGAAGUGUCUUGCCCAAGAUCAUUUGUCUAGUUCUUCCUUAUGCCAGUCCACCAAGAAUACCUGCUUAAAGGCCAGGUCACCAGUUCAGCUUUGCAGAUAGGCUAUGAAGUUGAUGGAUAUCUCUGAUUGGGCACCCCAGCUGGUAGGAACACAGCUGCAGCUCCUGUUCCACUUCCUUUCUUGUACUGCUGAACAUCCAGAUAGAGGCAUUGACAUGCAUGGUUUCCAACUGAUCACUUCCUACUCCCUUAAGGACCUCCUGUCAGGCAGUUUUGCUAAUUUCUUUAAUAUCAGAAGACAGCUGGAUUCUCAUUUCUGCUUCUGCAUUCAGUCUAUUGUGAUAUAGCAUAUCAUGUAACUUCUGAAAAACUUCACUGUACACAGAUGCUGACCUCACAGACUCCCUGAAAGGAUCUCCAUGACCUCUAUGGUUCCUUAGACUGCACUUUGAGAACUAUUGACGUACAGGGAAAAAUGCUCUUGGUGCCAAGAAGGGAUUCCGAAGAUAGAAGAGGAGGCAUCAACACCGUGAACAUCAUGGCUGAGUUAUUUUGUGAGAGGGAUAAGCCUAAAGUAAAAACCUUGGAUUUGCCUCUGUCCUUGAACAUGCUAUCUGGAAAGAGUUUUCUUAAAAGUAUUGUUGUGAACACAUCCAUUUUCCCAGUAUAGUUGAAUGCAGGGUUUAAUAAAUGGAAUGAAUCUA